AACGAACGCUGGCGGCAGGCUUAACACAUGCAAGUCGAGCGCAUGUCUUCGGACAUGAGCGGCAGACGGGUGAGUAACGCGUGGGAACGUACCCUUCAGUUCGGGAUAACCCAGGGAAACUUGGGCUAAUACCGGAUACGUCCGUAAGGAGAAAGGUUUACUGCUGAAGGAUCGGCCCGCGUCGGAUUAGCUAGUUGGUGGGGUAAAGGACCCGACCAACGGACGACGAUCCGUAGCUGGUCUGAGAGGAUGAUCAGCCACACUGGGACUGAGACACGGCCCAGACUCCUACGGGAGGCAGCAGUGGGGAAGUAUUGGUACAAUAGGGCGGCAAGCCUGAUCCAGCCAUGCCGCGUGAGUGAUGAAGGCCCUAGGGUUGUAAAGCUCUUUUGUGCGGGAAGAUAAUGACGGUACCGCAAGAAUAAGCCCCGGCUAACUUCGUGCCA
rnacentral:rRNA from 1 species